GCUUUCACCACAGCCUGUUCAGAAAAACAUGAUCCCUGACACGGAAAUGGAGGAGGAGACAGAGUUCCUUGAGCUCGGAACCAGGAAACCAAGACCAAAUGGACUACUGUCAGAGGAUGUAGGAAUGGACAUCCCCUUUGAAGAGGGCGUGCUGAGUCCCAGUGCUGCAGACAUGAGGCCUGAACCUCCUAAUUCUCUGGAUCUUAAUGACACUCAUCCUCGGAGAAUCAAGCUCACAGCCCCAAAUAUCAAUCUUUCUCUGGACCAAAGUGAAGGAUCUAUUCUCUCUGAUGAUAACUUGGACAGUCCAGAUGAAAUUGACAUCAAUGUGGAUGAACUUGAUACCCCUGAUGAAGCAGAUUCUUUUGAGUACGCUGGCCAUGGUAAGUCACUAAGUUGGCAAGGCCAAAGUUAAAUGCUAAAUAAGUAAAAGAUUUUCUAACAGACCUCUCAUUUUUGUGCCAGUGGAUCCUUUUUGUGAUUUCUAGAAGCUUCUGUUUUUAUUUCAGGUCAUAGGUGGCCAUGAUUGACAGUUUGGAGCUUGGCAGAGAAAGUAUGGUUCACAGAGGCCAUACAUAACCAUUGCUCUUUAUUAACCCCCACUCUGUGCUAGCAUUUAUGCUAGGCACUGGGGCUGAGGGAAGACUGUUACAUGCUGUGUUACAAGAAACCUGGGGCUGGGUUUGCAGAGGAAGAGAAUUUAAUCCGGAUGAUAAAAUUUGAAGAAGAGAAAUCAGAGCUUGACAAUUUCUUGUAUAAGUUCCCACUAUCUGCAAUGUUCUUUUCCCCAGAUCCUUACAUGACUGACUCCUUCUCUUUAUUCAGAUGUUAAUCAGAUGUCACCUCCUCAGAGAAGUCUUCCUUGACCUCUGUAAUCGAAGGUGCUUCCCACUUCCCG
rnacentral:sRNA from 1 species